rnacentral:rRNA from 1 species
AUUGAACGCUGGCGGCAGGCCUAACACAUGCAAGUCGAGCGGAUGAAGGGAGCUUGCUCCUGGAUUCAGCGGCGGACGGGUGAGUAAUGCCUAGGAAUCUGCCUGGUAGUGGGGGAUAACGUCCGGAAACGGGCGCUAAUACCGCAUACGUCCUGAGGGAGAAAGUGGGGGAUCUUCGGACCUCACGCUAUCAGAUGAGCCUAGGUCGGAUUAGCUAGUUGGUGGGGUAAAGGCCUACCAAGGCGACGAUCCGUAACUGGUCUGAGAGGAUGAUCAGUCACACUGGAACUGAGACACGGUCCAUACUCCUACGGGAGGCAGCAGUGGGGAAUAUUGGGCAGUGGGGGAAAGCCUGAUCCAGCCAUGCCGCGUGUGUGAAGAAGGUCUUCGGAUUGUAAAGCACUUUAAGUUGGGAGGAAGGGCAGUAAGUUAAUACCUAGCUGUUUUGACGUUACCAACAGAAUAAGCACCGGCUAACUUCGUG